rnacentral:lncRNA from 1 species
AAAAUAUUCAUGAUAUACUAAAAAAAAAAAGGUUCUAAUCUUAUUUUGUUUUACAUAAACAUCUCAAAAUUCAUUGUAAGUGAUGUGAUAUUCAUUAGGGAUGAGGAUUUCGAUUUUUUGUUGUUCAAUUUUUACGAUUUUCGGUUUAGGUUACAACCCAUUCGAGUCUAAGAUUUCAACCUAAGCAUGUUGAAAGAUUGUUUCAGUUUGGUCUACUUUGGUUCGGUUUGGUUCGGUUUGGUUCAAUUUGAUACGAGUAUAUAAUUUGGUGUGGUUUUGGUUUGUUAAUUCAGGUCUAAACACAGUUUCGGUUAUAAUAAAAUAGCAAUAUGUGAUUGUAAGAGUGAGGCAAAGAUGGAGAAUAAUUUUUUUUUUUUUUAAAAGGUACCUUAUGCUCGUGAAGAUCACAAUUGUAUUUAGGCCUGUAACAACAACCUGCAGAAAAUAACUUGCUCAGGUCAGUCCUAUUAGAAAAAGUGUCUAAAUUCCGAGAAAUUACUAGAGUCGGUGAGAGAUAGAAACCUGAAGAAUGGCAUAGAUUAUUGUUCCAACGCUGGAAGAAAAUCCUAAGGACAUUACAAGUAUAAGAACCAAAAUAUUAUGGUCGUUCUAAAUUUUUGAGAGAACAUGAAAGCAUAUCCUUGCAGAGAUCUCAUUACCUGCUGACUCAAAAAUAGUGCUGCUGUAAAAACAGAUUCCAUUGAUUCCACCAAAUUGUUGAAACACCAUCAAUCCGACUCCAAUCUUGUCAAAAUGAAUAAAUUGUAGGAGGAGUCAAUGAGAAGAUAAAAUGUAGUUGCAUUAUAGAUGAAGGAGAAAGAGGAAUUUGUACCGUGACUGAGCGCAAGUAUCUUCUUUGAAACAAAUCCAGCAUUCCAGCUUUUGGGAGCCUUUCUAGAGUUUCUAUGUAAUCCUGUUAAGCAACGAAAAAAAUGCUUCAGAUAAAUUUUCUUCUCAAUGGUCCAAUACACAUAGUCAGUGUGGAAUGGCACUUAUAACUCAGAUAUAAGACCUGGAUUUCAGCUGCCUCAUGUGUUAUAUCAGCAUCCUUGCCACGAAGUUUCUGUAGCGCAGCUUCAAACUCUUUUUCCUUUCCUGUCUUUGCCUGUGUCCAUGGCAAGUUCAGUUUCAUGUAUUCAUCUUUUUCUUGGAGUGUCAUUAUCAGGUAUCCUUACCAGCCAUCUAGGAGACUCCGGGAUGAAAAAGAGACCCAAAAACAAAAUUGCACAGGGGAUGAUACCUGCAAUAAUUGUCUGUAAGCCUUCUGUUUCAUUAUCCUUUCGUAGUUCGUUUUCCUUUUUAAGUUUUCUUGGACAGUUGAAUAAAUGGAUGGUUAAUCAUUUUCACCUGUUAGUGCUAAAGCUCUCCAUGUUAGUACCGUCCCAAUUAUGAAGGCAACUGACACACCAGCACAGAUCAUAAGCUAUAUACAAACAUCAGAAACAAUUAGAUAGAUCAUAGAUUGCUUAAUUUUGGGGCAACUAGCUAUUCGAGAGAUAAAUUAAAAUGACAAAUGAGAAUUUCCUCCAAUUAAGAUGUCUGCAUUUUUAGCUUACCUGAUUUGCAGCUGUUAGUGCUCCUCGAAGAUUCUUGGGUGCAAUUUCAGCAAUAAAAACCGGCACCACAUACGAAAAGACUCCCAUUCCAUAUCCUGUUGCCAAUCUUCCAAUAUCCAAUGGCCAAACCCCCUUUUGUUUCAAUCAAAACAGAAAGAAUAUAAUUGGUAAGUUUAUAGGAAAAUUGUUCUCUUUGCUAUGUAGCUGAAAGAAAUAGGGGAACAAAAAAAUAUUAGUAGAGCUUAAGAAUAUAUGAACCUCAGCAAAGUAAAUAGCAAGCCAUCCUGCAACGCAGAAGACACUUGAAACUCUCAUUGCCUGCACAUAUUAAACAAUCUUACAAGCUAAAUAUUCACUAGAACACAAUUAAGCUCAUAUCCUAAACAUGCAGUGAUUAAUCAGCUAAAAAAUAUAUAUCUUCUUACCCCUUUCCGACCAACAUAAUUAGCAAUUGGCCCACUGGUGAUUGCCCCGAUCAUGGCACCAAAUGUUAAUAUGGAGCCAAACACGGAAUACUGCAUGAGUAUAAACCAAAACCAAAAUGAAAAAAUUUCAUAUUUACCAACUGAAUGGAAUUAGUCUCUGCAGGAAUCAUAAUAACAUUUCUGCACAUCUGCUUCAGCUUAAUAUAACUUGUAUUCAACAAGACAUGCUCUGUCGCUAAAACAUCCUUGUCAAGACACUAAACUCAUGAUUCUUUACUUCUUAGUAAAUAAACAUACACUAAAAAAGUGAUUAAUUUGGAACUAAUUAGAAGAAUGCCCAUUCAUCAGCAUACCUCUGCGAGGGACAGAGCGAUAUCUUCCCUGAUAGCACUCUGAGUAGGAGAUGAAUAUCCAGCCUGCAAAACCAAAUUGACAAUUCCACAACCUAAGCCUUCCAAGCAUUCAACAGAAAAAAAAGUGAAAAUCAUUGUUUCAGAAUUUGGUUUCAGGAAAUGGACUUACACACGAUCCGAAAGCAUAAGAACCGCAAACUGCAAUGGGUGUGCUGAAGUAAACCAUGCACGGAUUUACUUUCUUGUUGUUUGUUCGGUCACCAGCUCCACCAUCUUCAUGAGCUAAGAUGUUCUCAAUCGGCAUAAGUGGUUCCCUUAUAUUUUCUUGAACAUCCUCUUUGACGUCCAUGAUGAUGCUGAUACCUUCCAAAAAGUUGCCUUAGUUUAUCUAAUAGAAGAAAUUGAAAGAAAUUGUUACAAGAUAAAGGAGAUACGCGAAGAUGGAAGCAGAAGCAAACUAUAUCAUCUAUCAAUUAGCCACAAGAGGCUGGAAUUUCUUGAGUCUUCCCUCAAUACUCCUUCGUGAGUUUUAUGAAAGUACUAACACUGAGGACAAGUAGGCAAUUUGUUUUUUCACACAACUGGAUAAUGAAUCUGAAUCAACGACCAUAUGUACACGUUCUACUCGAAGUAAUAUGUACGCUACUAAACUCAACUGGUGUUAUUUUGUCGUUUGCAUGAAAACUGAAACCUGAAAAGAUGACUUAAAGAUACAUGAACAGGCAGAAACCGCAAGCCAACAUGACUUAAAGAGAAUUUCUUCGAAGUAAAUUUUCCCACGGUUUGUUUGUGUAGGAGAAAAUCUAGGUCCCUCGUUAUCUCGUGUUUAGAAUUGUCAACUGUCGUGCGAACCUCUAAAGAUUCAAGAAAAUCAAAGACAAUUUCAGAUUUUUCUUCACCUGGGAUGUGGCUAAUUUCUUUCGGCACCCAUACCUUCUGUAUCAUUUAAAAUGUCUUAAUAAGCUUAAUUAGCCCCCAUGAAAUGCUUCACAGCUGAAGGCACAGCGAGUGUGCCUUUUAUUUUACUACAUCGACUUUCACAUGGAGAUUAUAAGCCGUAGUUAAAUUGUAAGAUAAGAAUGAAAUUAUGGAUACGUCAAAGUGCCAAGUUGAAUUAAUAAAAAAAUAGGAAAACGACGGUUGUGUGUGUCUAUCCUACAUUAUAAGGAAACAGUUAAGUUUCCAACAAGAGACAUGAUAGCCUUUUAUUUUAUUAUCCUAAAAAAAUUGGCUCAAAUAUUUUAUAAUAAAUAUUAAUAUAAUAUAAAUAUUUUAAAUAAUUUUAAUAAUUAAAAAAUACUAUAAUAUCUGCUGUACCGUACAUCCGCCUCCCACUUGUGAUUGCCCCGAUCAUGGCACCAAAGGUUAAUAUGGAGCCAAACACAGAAUACUGCAUGAGUGUAAACCAAAACCAAAAUGAAAAAAUUUCAUAUUUACCAACUGAAUGGAAUUAGUCUCUGCAGGAAUCAUAAUAACAUUUCUGCACAUCUGCUUCAGCUUAAUAUAACUUGUAUUCAACAAGACAUGCUCUGUCGCUAAAACAUCCUUGUCAAGACACUAAACUCAUGAUUCUUUACUUCUUAGUAAAUAAACGUACACUAAAAAAGUGAUUAAUUUGGAACUAAUUAGAAGAAUGCCCAUUCAUCAGCAUACCUCUGCGAGGGACAGAGCGAUAUCUUCCCUGAUAGCACUCUGAGUAGGAGAUGAAUAUCCAGCCUGCAAAACCAAAUUGACAAUUCCACAACCUAAGCCUUCCAAGCAUUCAACAGAAAAAAAAGUGAAAAUCAUUGUUUCAGAAUUUGGUUUCAGGAAAUGGACUUACACACGAUCCGAAAGCAUAAGAACCGCAAACUGCAAUGGGUGUGCUGAAGUAAACCAUGCACGGAUUUACUUUCUUGUUGUUUGUUCGGUCACCAGCUCCACCAUCUUCAUGAGCUAAGAUGUUCUCAAUCGGCAUAAGUGGUUCCCUUAUAUUUUCUUGAACAUCCUCUUUGACGUCCAUGAUGAUGCUGAUACCUUCCAAAAAGUUGCCUUAGUUUAUCUAAUAGAAGAAAUUGAAAGAAAUUGUUACAAGAUAAAGGAGAUACGCGAAGAUGGAAGCAGAAGCAAACUAUAUCAUCUAUCAAUUAGCCACAAGAGGCUGGAAUUUCUUGAGUCUUCCCUCAAUACUCCUUCGUGAGUUUUAUGAAAGUACUAACACUGAGGACAAGUAGGCAAUUUGUUUUUUCACACAACUGGAUAAUGAAUCUGAAUCAACGACCAUAUGUACACGUUCUACUCGAAGUAAUAUGUACGCUACUAAACUCAACUGGUGUUAUUUUGUCGUUUGCAUGAAAACUGAAACCUGAAAAGAUGACUUAAAGAUACAUGAACAGGCAGAAACCGCAAGCCAACAUGACUUAAAGAGAAUUUCUUCGAAGUAAAUUUUCCCACGGUUUGUUUGUGUAGGAGAAAAUCUAGGUCCCUCGUUAUCUCGUGUUUAGAAUUGUCAACUGUCGUGCGAACCUCUAAAGAUUCAAGAAAAUCAAAGACAAUUUCAGAUUUUUCUUCACCUGGGAUGUGGCUAAUUUCUUUCGGCACCCAUACCUUCUGUAUCAUUUAAAAUGUCUUAAUAAGCUUAAUUAGCCCCCAUGAAAUGCUUCACAGCUGAAGGCACAGCGAGUGUGCCUUUUAUUUUACUACAUCGACUUUCACAUGGAGAUUAUAAGCCGUAGUUAAAUUGUAAGAUAAGAAUGAAAUUAUGGAUACGUCAAAGUGCCAAGUUGAAUUAAUAAAAAAAUAGGAAAACGACGGUUGUGUGUGUCUAUCCUACAUUAUAAGGAAACAGUUAAGUUUCCAACAAGAGACAUGAUAGCCUUUUAUUUUAUUAUCCUAAAAAAAUUGGCUCAAAUAUUUUAUAAUAAAUAUUAAUAUAAUAUAAAUAUUUUAAAUAAUUUUAAUAAUUAAAAAAUACUAUAAUAUUUUACAAUCUAUUAGAUAUAUUUUAUCUGCUGUNNNNNNNNNNNNNNNNNNNNNNNNNNNNNNCCUGCUGUACCGUACAUCCGCCUUGGCCGUACAGCAGUAUAUAAAAAUUCAAAAUAUUUGGGAUACUAUGUAAAAUAAUUUUAAUAUUAUUAAUGCGUGCAAUAUAUUUUAUUAAAUGUAAAGUAUAUUUAACUCAGAGAUUUAUUUAAAAUCUUUGUAAUAGAUUCAUGAAAGUAUUAAAAUAAUAUAGUGAUAUAAAUUAUUUUUAAAUAUUUUACUUUUAUUAAUUUAUUAAAUAGAUUAAAUUAUUUGCUGCUGUCUUUUGACAAGCAAUUCUUGACAGGAAAAUGAGUUGGUUGUUUGUCUUUUAUCCCCAAAGAUGUGAGACUGAUUCAAGUUAUUUACGCAUCCUGUCCAUUAUCCAACAACAAUUCUGGUGACGACAGUGAUCUGAUCUACUACCCAUUUUACUUAGUAAUAAAUUAGGUACAGCCAGCCACCGAUUUAGAAUGGAGAGUUGGCAACCGCAUUGGUUCACUCCUGAAAAAAUAUUAAAAAAACAAAUGGAGAGUUGCAAUUUGCCAUGUGUUUCGAUGAUGAAUUCAAAAGUGGUUGUUUUGGGAUAUAUUUGAAUAAAGGAAUGCAGGCCUUGGAGAAAUAAUAAUAAUAAUAAUGAACAACAUAUAUGAGAUCUUUCAAAUUGAUGCCGUAAGAACUUGAUAGAUCAAGAGGGUACUUAUAAAAAUGAUCGACACUAAAUUUUCACGGUUGCAUUAAAUUUGCAGUUCGCCAACAAAUAUUUCCACCCAUUUGCAAGUAAAAACGAAAUUCAACAUCAUGCCUUGCCAAUCUCAGAGUGAACAAGCAUGGUUGUAGCUCAAAUUGACCUUCAGGCUCAAGAGAACUUGCAGAUCCCUUUCCCACAAUUUUUCAGAAUUGAUUUAACAUGAAACAUCACCUCAGAACAAGAACAUAUAGUAAGACUCGAAUGUUAACAUCUCAGAACAAGAACAUAUAACAAGACUCGAAUAUAACUUCCCAUAUUUACUGCCACAGCACAAAAUUCAGAAUUAGUUUCUUCGGUAAAUCCCGAUUAAAGAACUGGCCGAAUCCAUCAGUUUGAACUAUAAAAAUGCAGCGAUAAGGCUAUAGAAAAAGCAACAAGAAGAUCAAUGAAGCUACAAACACCAGUAGUCUCAGAUAGUUGACCAUAACAUUCAAUGUACAGAGACAAAUCCCACCUUGUACCGAGAUGGUGUGCUGUUUCUUCCAGCACAAGUUUCACCCGUAUGAAACUGCCACAUUUUCCUUAAUCUUCUAACAGCUCUUAACCGACUAUGCUUUUAUGCAGACACUUAGGUCCAAAACAAGCAGAUUAAGCCUGGAGCAUUUACUCUAUCAAUCGAAAGAGACAGGUAAUGAAGACUUCUCAAAUGCAUUUACUUCACACAGGUAUCCUCGGUUGGCCUCUCCACAUUGACAUCUAUAGAUGCAGUGUCGGAUCCUCAAGAAGCAACAAUGUUAAAUGCAUAUCACUCACAAUAUCCCGUAAUAACACAAUCUUAUGAGCAAAAUUUGCAAAAACACCAAAACCACACAGGACCUUAGUAAAUGAAAACACCUGCUAUUCAUAUACAAGUAGAAUUUUAGCUUUGUUAUCACGAUGCACCCUACUUGAAAAGAAUCAACUUUGAAUUAUGCAUCUAUGUACUCUUUACAAGGUGGAACAUGAUUCAAAUUUCAAGAACCACGAAAGCUAUAUAAAAAAUAUAUCAAGGCCAACAAAACCAUCGGUGCAGACACCGGUAAUUACAACAAUUCUACUGGUUUGGAACCAGAGUUUCUCACUUCUUCCUUAUGACUGGAAUCAGAGAUUCUCACUUCUUCCUUAUGACUAGAAGGGCGCUCAAUUUCAGUAAAAGCCUGAUAGCCGGUAUAACUUGAGAACUGACCUGAGCCACUAUUACUGCUCAUAGACUUCUCAAUCUCGUCCAUCUCAGCUACAAAAGAAAUUGGUCGUUCUGGGAUUGUGGGAACAGACUGCUCAGUUUCCAACAUUUUCACGACCUGAUCCAUCGUUGGCCUGGCAUAUAACUGUGGAUGGGAACAAAGAACGGCAAUCGUUACAUACUUCUCUAGAACUUCGGGUACACCCAUCUCUGGCAUACCAUCUUCAAUAACAUCCAGAGCUCUCCCCUCCUUCACCAAUGACCAAGCCCAGUCCGUCACAAGAGAAGCUUGGCCAUCAUCAUUCAUAAUGAGUGCCUUCCUGCCACUCAAAAGCUCCAGAAGCACAACACCAAAGCUGUACACAUCACUCCUGUCAGUCAAUUGCCCAUACAAAGCAUACUCAGGAGCAAGAUAUCCCAUUGUCCCAGCCACCCUAGUACUCAAAUGAGUGAACCCCUCCGGUGUAAACUUUGCAAGCCCAAAAUCCCCCACCUUUGCCUCAAACUUCUCAUCCAAUAAUAUAUUACUAGCUUUAAUAUCCCUGUGAAAAAUUGCCGGCUGUGCACCAAAAUGCAAAUAGGCCAAUCCCCUUGCCGUCCCAAGAGCAAUCGACUGCCUAAGAGGCCAACUAAGCUUCGGCCCAUUGGAAGCAAACAAAUGAUCAUAAACGCUUCCAUUCUUCAUCAAAUCACAGACAAUAAUCCUCUGGUGACCCUCUAACUGAGUAGUGGCAAUACAAUAACCUCUCAAAGCAACAAGAUUGACAUGCCUAACGCUAGCAAUAACCUCCACCUCAUGCUUGAAAUUUGCAUCACCCGCCGCGGAACAAUUCUUGAACCUCUUCAAAGCAACCUCAGAGCCAUCGGGCAAAAGCCCUUUGUAGACAUUACCAUAACCUCCUCUCCCAAUGAUAUUAUCCCUUGAGAAAUUCCGAGUAGCUUUCUUAAUGUCAUCAAAUGUGAACCUGACCAAAUUAGUACUCUCAUGAAUAGACUCCAAUCCCAUUUCAAUUCUAUUAACCUCUUCUCGUUCCCUCUUCUUUCUUCUGUUAGAAACCACACGCUUACGCCAAAAGAUCCAAACCCCACCAGAAAUUAGCAACAACCCAACAACACAAACAACCAAGACCCCGGCAAUUAAGCCCUUGUUCUUCUUCUUACUCUUCUUUGAUGAUUCAGCAAACUCAAAUGAGAACAAACAGUUAGCAGUGCCCGUAUCGGUGGGACCAAACUGAUUGGCGGCCGCGGCGGCGUAAAUGGAAGGAUAGGCCAGACAAUCAGACAAGUUCCCAACGGAAGGCCCGGUCAAAUAGGCCUGCAAGCGGGCCAAGCUGGUAGUACAAGCAGCACAAGGGGCACUAUUCCCCAAGGACUGGUUACAGUUGGAAACGACGUCGUCGAGAGUGGACUGGGGAAUCAACCUCUCGAACUGGGAUAUCGUGGAGAUGUUCAUACAGCCUUCAGAGAUCCAAUCGGUUUGGAAGCCGCAGCGGGAGCGUACGUCGAAGUUCGGAGCGACUCUGUCGACAAGGGUUUGGUAAACGCGCCAGCAUGACUCGGAGGCGUUGAGGGGCGGCAGGAAGUUUCCGGUGCGUUUGAGGUAUUGUGAAUCCACGAGACGAAGGCCCUUUUUAACGUUCUGACACUGCGAGGGCAGGUCACUCGGAGUCUUGAACUGGGACAUCAGCUGCUGUAAGAAGUUGAAGUCAAGCGGGCACGAAACGGUGGCGUUUCGUUGUGCCGCGGCCGUUGUUGUGGAGGCCGCCAGGAAAAGAAUGAGAACAAGGCCUCGUAAGAAUGACAUCGGCAUCGACAUCUCGGGGACGGGGAGAGAUACCGGGGGGUGUUGGUAGCAGUACAGAGACAACAAAGACAACAAUAAGGAAAAGCAUGUGCACGUGCUUGUGCUUGGGGAUUGUGGUGCAAUUUGAGUAAACUAGUGUAAUUUGAGUUGGGAGUUUGACUAAUCACUAGUAAAUUCCCUAUGGCAUGCAACGGGUGAUGGCGGCAGGCAAGGCAAACACAGCCAGCCAGUUAUGACAGUUGAUUAGCUUAACCUACUGCAAAUUUGAAGCUUCAGAGAAGGUGAGAUAGUUCAAUUCAUUUGAUUUCGUUCAAUAAAAAUAUAAUAAAUAAAAGUUAUUGCUUCCUUACUUACCUAGUUUGUUAAUUUUCAACGCCUUAUUUUUGUCUGUCAAUAGAAACUUCAAGUCCAUUCAUCAAAUUGUCAAUUAUAUUAUUAGUCAAUUUAUUACGUGUUUGAUUCGAAUUUGUGUGUGAAAGUUCAAGAAAGGGGUGCAAUAACAUGUUUUAACUGUAGGGGAGGAUUAGUUAUUUUUUAUCUUACAGGCGGAAUAGGGUGUUAUUAUAAUGGGCUGCUCUGGAUCUGAAAGGAGACUCUUCUUAAAAAAAAAAUGAAAGAGACAAAAGAAAAUUGCAAAGACAUGUCAUCAAUUUCUAAGUCUUAACAAGGAGGUCUCCUUCUCCUUCUCGUAUGGCCUUUUAUUUUAUUUUAUUUUUUUUUUGAGUUAGAUAGGAAGUCUCUGUCUUGUCUUAAACUUGAUGUUCUGUAAGAUGUUCCAUUGGUCCGAAUUAUUGCACUAUCUUUUCAUCAGGUACUGUAUUUUAUAUAAAUAUAUUCUCAUGUCACAUAAAAUUCGAUGCAAAGUUUAUUGGGAUUUAAUGACAUCAAUAAAUCAUCAAUAAAUCCUCCUUUGUUUAUCUAUUCUUUUAGACUUUCUUGUACAACCUUAUUUCUCUUUUCCUUAUGGGGAAUGCUAUUCGAACGUCUAUCCAUUUUACCAUUUAAAGUGAAAAGCGCUUGUACAAAAGACAAUAAUACUAGGGAGAUCUUAGUAGUAGUAUUUGAGUUUUAAUCCAAAUUUUAUUAUCAUGUAUCAUUUAUUUAUUAGAUAAUAAAUUUCAUAACUUAUACAUUAUUUGACCACCAUCUGAUAAAUCAAUACUCCUAUAAAAAUAGUUAUGGAUGGAACAAUAACAUUCACAUCACUCAUUUUUCAUGUGUUAUCAUAAAAGCAUGUUGUUUGUUCAUUUUGUAAAAAUACCCUUAACCCAUGUUUGGUUGGAAGAAAUGGUAGGAGCGGAAAGGAAAGAAUGGGAGAGAAAAUGAGUGAAAAUGAGUGAAAAAGAAUGUCAAUUUCAUUUUUAUUGUUUGGAUGGUCAAAAAUUAUUACUAGAAAAUAGACCGCGAAGAAUUGAAGAAUUACAGAUGAAUGUACAAAAAGAACUUAAUUGUGUGAAUCGAAAAAUAAACAUUGCUAUUACACGAAUUACAAAUCCUUAUGGACACCCCAAUAUUCUUGCCGAAUUUAUAGCCGGCUGCUGUACGGCCAAGGCGGAUGUACGGUACAGCAGUUAAAAAAUACUAUAAUAUUUUACAAUCUAUUAGAUAAAUUUUAUUAUAUUAAAAAAAGUUUUAGAAUAAAUGAAAACAUAAUAUUAAAAUAAGUAUAAAAAAUUCAAAAUAUUUGGGAUACUAUGUAAAAUAAUUUUAAUAUUAUUAAUGCGUGCAAUAUAUUUUAUUAAAUGUAAAGUAUAUUUAACUCAGAGAUUUAUUUAAAAUCUUUGUAAUAGAUUCAUGAAAGUAUUAAAAUAAUAUAGUGAUAUAAAUUAUUUUUAAAUAUUUUACUUUUAUUAAUUUAUUAAAUAGAUUAAAUUAUUUGUGUUUAUGUAUAUUUACUCAAAUAUUUAAAGUUAAUUAUUUUAAUCAUUAUAUUUAAAAGGUAUUAUUUAACUUUAUUUAUAAAAAAAUUUAGAGAUAUGUAUGACCAUUUUCAUAAAUUUUACGGGUAAUGAUUCCUUUUUCGUAAAUAAAUAAAUUAAUUAAAAAUGGAGAAAGGUUUGGCAGAGUUGUGUUUGGCUUGAGAUUCCUUUUGACAAGCAAUUCUUGACGGGAAAAUGAGUUGGUUGUUUGUCUUUUAUCCCCAAAGAUGUGAGACUGAUUCAAGUUAUUUACGCAUCCUGUCCAUUAUCCAACAACAAUUCUGGUGACGACAGUGAUCUGAUCUACUACCCAUUUUAAUUAGUAAUAAAUUAGGUACAGCUAGCCACCGAUUUAGAAAGGAGAGUUGGCAACAGCAUUGGUUCACUCCUGAAAAAAUAUUAAAAAAAUAAAUCGAGAGUUGCAAUUUGCCAUUUGUUUCGAUGAUUAUUCAAAAGUGGUUGUUUUGGGAUACAUUUGAAUAAAGGAAUGCAGGCCUUGGAGAAAUAAUAAUAAUAAUAAUGAACAACAUAUAUGAGAUCCUCGGUUGGCCUCUCCACAUCGACAUCUAUAGAUGCAGUCUCGGAUCCUCAAGAAGCAACAAUGUUAAAUGCAUAUCACUCACAAUAUCCCGUAAUAACACAAUCUUAUGAGCAAAAUUUGCAAAAACACCAAAACCACACAGGACCUUAGUAAAUGAAAACACCUGCUAUUCAUAUACAAGUAGAAUUUUAGCUUUGUUAUCACGAUGCACCCUACUUGAAAAGAAUCAACUUUGAAUUAUGCAUCUAUGUACUCUUUACAAGGUGGAACAUGAUUCAAAUUUCAAGAACCACGAAAGCUAUAUAAAAAAUAUAUCAAGGCCAACAAAACCAUCGGUGCAGACACCGGUAAUUACAACAAUUCUACUGGUUUGGAACCAGAGUUUCUCACUUCUUCCUUAUGACUGGAAUCAGAGAUUCUCACUUCUUCCUUAUGACUAGAAGGGCGCUCAAUUUCAGUAAAAGCCUGAUAGCCGGUAUAACUUGAGAACUGACCUGAGCCACUAUUACUGCUCAUAGACUUCUCAAUCUCAUCUAUCUCAGCUACAAGAGAAAUUGGUCGUUCUGGGAUUGUGGGAACAGACUGCUCAGUUUCCAACAUUUUCACGACCUGAUCCAUCGUUGGCCUGGCAUAUAACUGUGGAUGGGAACAAAGAACGGCAAUCGUUACAUACUUCUCUAGAACUUCGGGUACACCCAUCUCUGGCAUACCAUCUUCAAUAACAUCCAGAGCUCUCCCCUCCUUCACCAAUGACCAAGCCCAGUCCGUCACAAGAGAAGCUUGGCCAUCAUCAUUCAUAAUGAGUGCCUUCCUGCCACUCAAAAGCUCCAGAAGCACAACACCAAAGCUGUACACAUCACUCCUGUCAGUCAAUUGCCCAUACAAAGCAUACUCAGGAGCAAGAUAUCCCAUUGUCCCAGCCACCCUAGUACUCAAAUGAGUGAGCCCCUCCGGCGUAAACUUUGCAAGCCCAAAAUCCCCCACCUUCGCCUCAAACUUCUCAUCCAAUAAUAUAUUACUAGCUUUAAUAUCCCUGUGAAAAAUUGCCGGCUGUGCACCAAAAUGCAAAUAGGCCAAUCCCCUUGCCGUCCCAAGAGCAAUCGACUGCCUAAGAUGCCAACUAAGCUUCGGCCCAUUGGAAGCAAACAAAUGAUCAUAAACGCUUCCAUUCUUCAUCAAAUCACAGACAAUAAUUCUCUGGUGACCCUCUAACUGAGUAGUGGCAAUACAAUAACCUCUCAAAGCAACAAGAUUGACAUGCCUAACGCUAGCAAUAACCUCCACCUCAUGCUUGAAAGUUGCAUCACCCGCCGCGGAACAAUUCUUGAACCUCUUCAAAGCAACCUCAGAGCCAUCGGGCAAAAGCCCUUUGUAGACAUUACCAUAACCUCCUCUCCCAAUGAUAUUAUCCCUUGAGAAAUUCCGAGUAGCUUUCUUAAUGUCAUCAAAUGUGAACCUGACCAAAUUAGUACUCUCAUGAAUAGACUCCAAUCCCAUUUCAAUUCUAUUAACCUCUUCUCGUUCCCUCUUCUUUCUUCUGUUAGAAACCACACGCUUACGCCAAAAGAUCCAAACCCCACCAGAAAUUAGCAACAACCCAACAACACAAACAACCAAAACCCCGGCAAUUAAGCCCUUGUUCUUCUUCUUACUCUUCUUUGAUGAUUCAGUUACCUCAAAUGAGAACAAACACUUAGCAGUGCCCCUAUCGGUGGGACCAAACUGAUUGACGGCCGCGGCGGCGUAAAUGAAGGGAUAGGCCAGACAAUCAGACAAGUUCCCAACGGAAGGCCCGGUCAAAUAGGCCUGCAAGCGGGCCAAGCUGGUAGUACAAGCAGCACAAGGGGCACUAUUCCCCAAGGACUGGUUACAGUUGGAAACGACGUCGUCGAGAGUGGACUGGGGGAUCAAUCUCUCGAACUGGGAUCUCGUGGAGAUGUUCAUACAGCCUUCAGAGAUCCAAUCGGUUUGGAAGCCGCAGCGGGAGCGUACGUCGAAGUUCGGGGCGACUCUGUCGACAAGGGUUUGGUAAACGCGCCAGCAUGACUCGGAGGCGUUGAGGGGCGGCAGGAAGUUUCCGGAGCGUUUGAGGUAUUGUGAAUCCACGAGACGAAGGCCCUUUUUAACUUCCUGACACUGCGAGGGCAGGUCACUCGGAGUCUUGAACUGGGACAUCAGCUGCUGUAAGAAGUUGAAGUCAAGCGGGCACGAAACGGUGGCGUUUCGUUGUGCCGCGGCCGUUGUUGUGGAGGCCGCCAGGAAAAGAAUGAGAACAAGGCCUCGUAAGAAUGACAUCGGCAUCGACAUCGACAUCUCGGGGACGGGGAGAGAUACCGGGCGGUGUUGGUAGCAGUACAAAGACAACAAUAAGGAAAAGCAUGUGCACGUGCUUGUGCUUGGGGAUUGUGGUGCAAUUUGAGUAAACUAGUGUAAUUUGAGUUGGGAGUUUGACUAAUCACUAGUAAAUUCCCUAUGGCAUGCAACGGGUGAUGGCGGCAGGCAAGGCAAACACAGCCAGCCAGUUAUGACAGUUGAUUAGCUUAACCUACUGCAAAUUUGAAGCUUCAGAGAAGGUGAGAUAGUUCAAUUCAUUUGAUUUCGUUCAAUAAAAAUAUAAUAAAUAAAAGUUAUUGCUUCCUUACUUACCUAGUUUGUUCAUUUUCAACGCCUUAUUUUUGUCUGUCAAUAGAAACUUCAAGUCCAUUCAUCAAAUUGUCAAUUAUAUUAUUAGUCAAUUUAUUACGUGUUUGAUUCGAAUUUGUGUGUGAAAGUUCAAGAAAGGGGUGCAAUAACAUGUUUUAACUGUAGGGGAGGAUUAGUUAUUUUUUAUCUUACAGGCGGAAUAGGGUGUUAUUAUAAUGGGCUGCUCUGGAUCUGAAAGGAGACUCUUCUUAAAAAAAAAAUGAAAGAGACAAAAGAAAAUUGCAAAGACAUGUCAUCAAUUUCUAAGUCUUAACAAGGAGGUCUCCUUCUCCUUCUCGUAUGGCCUUUUAUUUUAUUUUAUUUUUUUUUUGAGUUAGAUAGGAAGUCUCUGUCUUGUCUUAAACUUGAUGUUCUGUAAGAUGUUCCAUUGGUCCGAAUUAUUGCACUAUCUUUUCAUCAGGUACUGUAUUUUAUAUAAAUAUAUUCUCAUGUCACAUAAAAUUCGAUGCAAAGUUUAUUGGGAUUUAAUGACAUCAAUAAAUCAUCAAUAAAUCCUCCUUUGUUUAUCUAUUCUUUUAGACUUUCUUGUACAACCUUAUUUCUCUUUUCCUUAUGGGGAAUGCUAUUCGAACGUCUAUCCAUUUUACCAUUUCAAGUGAAAAGCGCUUGUACAAAAGACAAUAAGAGCCUGUUUGGUAUGACUUAUUUAAGAGCCAUAAGUGCUUAUUUAAUCGUAUAAGCACUUUUUAAAAUUUUUUAUGGUGUUUGGUUAUUUUUUUAGUAGAGUUUUUUUAGCUUAAAUAAGCUAAUUUACCUCUACUAACAAAAGCCCAAAAUUUGAGCUUUUGGGAGUAGAGGUUAUAGAGCUUUUCUAAAAAUAUCUAAUAUAUAAUAUAUAUAUAAUAUAAAAAAUAUCUGGUUCAAAAGUGCUUUUUUUAUUGACAACCAAACACCCAAUGACUUUUUGUCCAAAAGCUCUAUUGGUAUAAGCUCUACUGCUAUAAGCUCUACUGUUAUAAGCUCUAUUUAAUAAGCUGUACCAAACGGAGCCUAAUACUAGGGAGAUCUUAGUAGUAGUAUUUGAGUUUUAAUUCGAAUUUUAUUAUCAUGUAUCAUUUAUUUAUUAGAUAAUAAAUUUCUUACUUAUACAUUAUUUGACCACCAUCUGAUAGAUUAAUACUCCUAUAAAAAUAGUUAUGGAUGGAACAAUAACAUUCACAUCAUUCAUUUUUCAUGUGUUAUCAUAAAAGCAUGUUGUUUGUUCAUUUUGUGAAAAUACCCUUAACCCAUGUUUGGUUGGAAGAAAUGGUAGGAGCGGAAAGGAAAGAAGGGGAGAGAAAAUGAGUGAAAAAGAAUGUCAAUUUCAUUUUUAUUGUUUGGAUGGUCAAGGAAUUCAUUUUUCUCCCCUUAUUUUUUCCCCUCUCCUCCUUUCCUCUUCUCUCCUCUCCUUAUAUUGUUCCAAACCAAACAUGCCAUUAGUCUUGAAUAUUUCUCAAAAAUGACACUUGGAAUCACAAUUUAUAUGAAAAUGAACAAAAAAAACUCUCUAAUGUUUCGACAAAGGCAUCAACACCUCAUCUGAUAGUAAAUUCAAUUAGUUUAUAAGGCAACAAUGGUAAUUUAGUACAUUUAUCCUAAAAAUAUUCAUGAUAUACCAAAAAAAAAAGGUUCUAAUCUUAUUUUGUUUUACAUAAACAUCUCAAAAUUCAUUGUAAGUGAUGUGAUAUUCAUUAGGGAUGAUGAUUUCGAUUUUUGGUUCAAUUUUUACGAUUUUCGGUUUAGGUUACAACCCAUUCGAGUCUAAGAUUUCAACCUAAGCAUGUUGAAAGAUUAUUUCAGUUUGGUCUGGUUUGGUUCGGUUUAGUUCAAUUUGAUUCGAGUUUAUAAUUUGGUGUGGUUUUGGUUUGUUAAUUCAGGU